CAGCAGCCACGGUAAUACGUAGGGUGCAAGCGUUAAUCGGAAUUACUGGGCGUAAAGCGUGCGCAGGCGGUUUGUUAAGACAGAUGUGAAAUCCCCGGGCUCAACCUGGGAACUGCAUUUGUGACUGGCAAGCUAGAGUGUGGCAGAGGGGGGUGGAAUUCCGCGUGUAGCAGUGAAAUGCGUAGAUAUGCGGAGGAACACCGAUGGCGAAGGCAGCCCCCUGGGCCAACACUGACGCUCAUGCACGAAAGCGUGGGGAGCAAACAGGAUUAGAUACCCCCGUAGUCCCUGUCUCUUAUAA
rnacentral:rRNA from 1 species